rnacentral:tRNA from 1 species
AAAGGCGGAAACCAUUUUUAUUUACAAUAAAAAAGACCUAAAGGCGCCUUUA